CAAAACCUAGCCUUAAGGAUGGGGAUAGCAGACGGAAACGACUGCUAAUACCGAAUACGUUCUAAGCAUCGCAUGGUGCAUAGAAGAAAGGGUGGCCUCUACAAGAAAGCUAUCGCCUUAAGAGGGGUUUGCGACUGAUUAGGUAGUUGGUGAGGUAACGGCUCACCAAGCCGACGAUCAGUAGCCGGUCUGAGAGGAUGAACGGCCACACUGGAACUGAGACACGGUCCAG
rnacentral:rRNA from 1 species